rnacentral:rRNA from 1 species
AGCGUUGUCCGGAAUUACUGGGCGUAAAGAGCUCGUAGGUGGUUUGUCGCGUUGUUCGUGAAAACCGGGGGCUUAACCCUCGGCGUGCGGGCGAUACGGGCAGACUUGAGUACUGCAGGGGAGACUGGAAUUCCUGGUGUAGCGGUGGAAUGCGCAGAUAUCAGGAGGAACACCGGUGGCGAAGGCGGCAUCCUGGACCGACACUGACGCUGAGGAGCGAAAGCCAGGGGAGCAAACGGG